rnacentral:rRNA from 1 species
GUCAUAGUGAUCCGGUGGUUCUGAAUGGAAGGGCCAUCGCUCAACGGAUAAAAGGUACUCCGGGGAUAACAGGCUGAUACCGCCCAAGAGUUCAUAUCGACGGCGGUGUUUGGCACCUCGAUGUCGGCUCAUCACAUCCUGGGGCUGAAGUAGGUCCCAAGGGUAUGGCUGUUCGCCAUUUAAAGUGGUACGCGAGCUGGGUUUAGAACGUCGUGAGACAGUUCGGUCCCUAUCUGCCGUGGGCGCUGGAGAACUGAGGGGGGCUGCUCCUAGUACGAGAGGACCGGAGUGGACGCAUCACUGGUGUUCGGGUUGUCAUGCCAAUGGCACUGCCCGGUAGCUAAAUGCGGAAGAGAUAAGUGCUGAAAGCAUCUAAGCACGAAACUUGCCCCGA